rnacentral:rRNA from 1 species
AACGCGAAGAACCUUACCAGGGCUUGACAUAUGGGUGAAAAGUAUAGAGAUAUACUCCUCUCUUUUAGAGACAUCCAUACAGGUGGUGCAUGGUUGUCGUCAGCUCGUGUCGUGAGAUGUUGGGUUAAGUCCCGCAACGAGCGCAACCCCUAUAUCUAGUUGCCAGCAUUUAGUUGGGGACUCUAGUUAGACUGCCGGUGACAAACCGGAGGAAGGUGGGGAUGACGUCAAAUCAUCAUGCCCCUUAUGACCUGGGCUACACACGUGCUACAAUGGAUGGUACAACGAGCAGCUAACCCGCGAGGGUAUGCGAAUCUCUUAAAGCCAUUCUCAGUUCGGAUUGCAGGCUGCAACUCGCCUGCAUGAGGCCGGAAUCGCUAGUAAUCGCGGAUCAGCACGCCGCGGUGAAUACGUUCCCGGGUCUUGUACACACCG